AUGGGAGGGAGAGAGGGAGGGAAAGGGUAAAAAAGAAGCUUUGUGUCUCGGUUUACAUGUGAUUUCUGUAAAUAACAAUUGAAUAGACACCCUUCAGCUGGGCUGACUAACUGCUCAUACUCACGCAUGAUGCCUUAGGAGCUGGGACAGAACUUCCACAGGGAUUAGAAGAAACUGUUUCCUAGCAGCAAUUGAUUUUCUUUCAGUUGGAAGGUCACAUGGUCUGACAGUCUCUUUGAAGACAGAAUCUCCCUCUGUUGCCCAGGCUGGAGUGCAGUGGCACUAUCUUGGCUCACUACAACCUCUGCCUCCUGGGUUCAAGCAAUUCUCCGGCCUCAGCCUCUACAGUAGCUGAGAUUACAGGAACCCGCCAUCAUG